UUGACCUCAAAUCAGGUAGGACUACCCGCUGAACUUAAGCAUAUCAAUAAGCGGAGGAAAAGAACUAACAAGGAUUCCCCUAGUAACUGCGAGUGAAGCGGGAAAAGCUCAAAUU
rnacentral:rRNA from 1 species